CCAGACUCCUACGGGAGGCAGCAGUGAGGAAUAUUGGUCAAUGGACGAGAGUCUGAACCAGCCAAGUAGCGUGAAGGAUGACUGCCCUAUGGGUUGUAAACUUCUUUUAUAAAGGAAUAAAACGAGGCACGUGUGCCUUUUUGCAUGUACUUUAUGAAUAAGGAUCGGCUAACUCCGUGCCAGCAGCCGCGGUAAUACGGAGGAUCCGAGCGUUAUCCGGAUUUAUUGGGUUUAAAGGGUGCGUAGGCGGCCUUUUAAGUCAGCGGUGAAAGUCUGUGGCUCAACCAUAGAAUUGCCGUUGAAACUGGGGGGCUUGAGUAUGUUUGAGGCAGGCGGAAUGCGUGGUGUAGCGGUGAAAUGCUUAGAUAUCACGAAGAACUCCGAUUGCGAAGGCAGCUUACUAAACUGCCACUGACAUUGAUGCUCGAAAGUGUGGGUAUCAAACAGGAUUAGAUACCCGAGUA
rnacentral:rRNA from 1 species